UCGAAGAGUCGAGUUGUUUGGGAAUGCAGCUCAAAACGGGUGGUAAACUCCAUCUAAAGCUAAAUACAGGCGAGAGACCGAUAGCGAACAAGUACCGUGAGGGAAAGAUGAAAAGCACUUUGGAAAGAGAGUAAAACAGUACGUGAAAUUGUUGAAAGGGAAGCGCUUGAAGUCAGUCACGUCGGCCGGGACUCAGCCUUUACCGGUGCACUUCCCGGCCUACGGGCCAGCAUCGAUUUCGACCGUCGGAAAAGGGCUGUGAGGAAUGUGGCACCUUCGGGUGUGUUAUAGCCUCCUGCCGCAUGCGACGGUCGGGAUCGAGGAACGCAGCCUAGCUUCGGAUGCUGGCGUAAUGGCUUUAAACGACCCGUCUUGAAACACGGACCAAGGAGUCUAACAUGUCUGCGAGUGUUUGGGUGUCAAACCCGAGCGCGCAAUGAAAGUGAAUGCAGGUGGGAGGCGCGAGCCGCACCAUCGACCGAUCUGGAUCUUUAGUGAUGGAUUUGAGUAAGAGCAUAUAUGUUGGGACCCGAAAGAUGGUGAACUAUGCCUGAAUAGGGCGAAGCCAGAGGAAACUCUGGUGGAGGCUCGUAGCGAUUCUGACGUGCAAAUCGAUCGUCAAAUUUGGGUAUAGGGGCGAAAGACUAAUCGAACCAUC
rnacentral:rRNA from 1 species